rnacentral:rRNA from 1 species
CCUACGGGAGGCAGCAGUGGGGAAUAUUGCUCAAUGGGCGAAAGCCUGAUCCAGCGACGUCGCGUGAGUGAAGACGUACCUCGGUAUUUAAAGCUCUAUCAGCAGGGAAGAAAAUGACGGUACCUGAUUAAGAAGCCCCGGCUAACUACGUGCCAGCAGCCGCGGGACUACGUAGGGGGCAAGCGUAAUCCGGAUUUACUGGGUGUAAAGGGAGCGUAGACGGGAGGACAAGUCUGGAGUGAAAUGCCGGGGCUUAACCCCGGAACUGCUAUGGAAACUGUGCAGCUAGAGUGCAGGAGAGGUAAGUGGAAUUCGUGGUGUAGCGGUGAAAUGCGUAGAUAUUAGGAAGAACACCAGUGGCGAAGGCGGCUUACUGGCCUGUAACUGACGUUGAGGCUCGAAAGCGUGGGGAGCAAACAGGAUUAGAUACCCUUGUAGUC